rnacentral:rRNA from 1 species
ACAUGCAGUCGUACAAGGUAGCCGCAGGGCACUAGUGGCGCACGGGUGCGUAACGCGUAACCAACCUACCCGAAACUGGGGCAUAGCCCGCCGAAAGGCGGAUUAAUACCGCAUACNCCAACNGCCCGGCAUCGGGUAAUUGGUAAAGAUUUAUUGGUUUCGGAUGGGGUUGCGUGCCAUUAGCUAGUUGGCGGGGUAAAGGCCCACCAAGGCGACGAUGGCUAGGGGAGCUGAGAGGCUGAUCCCCCACACUGGCACUGAGAUACGGGCCAGACUCCUACGGGAGGCAGCAGUAGGGAAUAUUGGGCAAUGGCCGCGAGGCUGACCCAGCCAUGCCGCGUGCCGGAUGAAGGCCUUCUGGGUUGUAAACGGCUUUUCUCAGGGAAGAAAAAGCUCCUGCGGGAGACACUGACGGUACCUGAGGAAUAAGCACCGGCUAACUCCGUGCCAGCAGCCGCGGUAAUACGGAGGGUGCGAGCGUUGUCCGGAUUUAUUGGGUUUAAAGGGUGCGUAGGCGGCCUGUUAAGUCCGGGGUGAAAGCCCACAGCUCAACUGUGGAACUGCCCUGGAUACUGGCGGGCUUGAGUCCAGACGAGGUUGG